AUGGCACUCUCGGUAGAGAGACUAGAUCCAAAUCCAAAUUGUGCAUCGUUGAGCGAGACGUGUCCAUCCAGUACUUCUAAAGUUCCAGCAAUUGUCGAAUGGAUCCCCGCAACGCCUAAAGAAGCGGAUCACCUGAAGAAUCGCGCAGUGGUGGCCGGAUACGAGGGUUACGAUGGAAGCCCCCUGUGGGUAAUAAGAGCGUCGUUCGAGGGCGAACUGCUACCAGGCAAGCUGGCGAUCAAACACCGCUCCGCUUACGUCCCUUGGGGGAGGCAAGGAGAACGCCGUGGAGCAAAUUGAGGUCUGCUGCGCUCGUCCCGAGAAAAUUCGAUGGACUGAAGACAGAGACGGCAGAGUGCCGGCUCAGGCUAUACCUGGAGGAAAGACGGCUACUGGAGAGACACUGUACAUCGGCAGGGCAAAGGAACAAGGAUCACUGACACCGGGAAAGAUUCACCCGAGCCACAAACUUAUGUACCUGUCGUUCAAAGGUCGCGAAAUAUCACACAAUAUUUACGAUGUGUUGUGUACUGUUUAAUAAUAACGCAUAUUUUUAAAUUUCUAACGCCUUUUAGUGUUUUAUUUUUCGUUUCGAAGCAGAAGUAUUGAAUGUAAGAUUUCAAAACUAUUUUUUUAUAAACGCUGUUAUUAUUGUAACCUAAUUAGUGGAAGAAACUAAAAAUUGUUCAUGAUUCAAUUUAAAUAGUUGUAUAUUUUUUUAUAGUGUAGAGCCAAGUAGAAUAUAUAAAUAAAUAAUUCUUAUAUAUAAAUA